rnacentral:ncRNA from 1 species
AUAAAUGUGUUGAAGAGAAGAGUAGUUAACUAAAAGCUUCAAGCGAAUCCUAGAUGGUGUGAGAGGAUAAGCGGAUAGUUAGUGAAAAGAACCUCAGAGCAUAUAGGUCGAUACAAGGAGACCUAUACGGGAACUCCCGUUACAGAGUUAGAGUAUGGUUGUACUUGAAGAGGUUUAUCUUGUGAGAGAUAGAUGAAUAUGGGUGGUAUCACGAGCUUUCGUCCCUUUU